UACGUAGGGGGCAAGCGUUGUCCGGAAUCAUUGGGCGUAAAGCGCACGUAGGCGGACUCUUAAGUCGGUGGUGAAAUCCUGGAGCUCAACUCCAGAACUGCCUUCGAUACUGGGAGUCUCGAGUCCGGGAGAGGUGAGUGGAACUGCGAGUGUAGAGGUGAAAUUCGUAGAUAUUCGCAAGAACACCAGUGGCGAAGGCGGCUCACUGGCCCGGUACCGACGCUGAGGUGCGAAAGCGUGGGGAGCAAACAGG
rnacentral:rRNA from 1 species